rnacentral:rRNA from 1 species
UAACCUGCCUUGGAGUGGGGAAUAACAGCUGGAAACAGCUGCUAAUACCGCAUAAUAUAUCUGGGUCGCAUGGCUCUGGAUAUCAAAGAUUUAUCGCUCUGAGAUGGACUCGCGUCUGAUUAGCUAGUUGGUGGGGCAACGGCCCACCAAGGCGACGAUCAGUAGCCGGACUGAGAGGUUGGCCGGCCACAUUGGGACUGAGACACGGCCCAGACUCCUACGGGAGGCAGCAG